GACGAACGCUGGCGGCGUGCUUAACACAUGCAAGUCGAACGGAAAGGCCCUGCUUUUGUGGGGUGCUCGAGUGGCGAACGGGUGAGUAACACGUGAGUAACCUGCCCUUGACUUUGGGAUAACUUCAGGAAACUGGGGCUAAUACCGUAUAGGAGCUCCUGCUGCAUGGAGGGGGGUGGAAAGUUUCGGCGGUUGGGGAUGGACGCGCGGCUUAUCAGCUUGUUGGUUGGGUAGUGGCUUACCAAGGCUUUGACGGGUAGCCGGCCUGAGAGGGUGACCGGCCACAUUGGGACUGAGAUACGGACCAGACUCCUACGGGAGGCAGCAGUGGGGAAUAUUGCACAAUGGGCGGAAGCCUGAUGCAGCAACGCCGCGUGCGGGAUGACGGCCUUCGGGUUGUAAACCGCUUUCGCCUGUGACGAAGCGUGAGUGACGGUAAUGGGUAAAGAAGCACCGGCUAACUACGUG
rnacentral:rRNA from 1 species